rnacentral:RNase_P_RNA from 1 species
CUUGCCGGAUGGGUAACCGCCCGUUUUGAACGGGAGGAAAGUCCGGUCUCCACAGGGCGGCGUGCCGGCUAACGGCCGGGGAGAUUCGCUCAAAGCGGAUUUCACGGAAAGUGCCACAGAAAAUACACCGCCUGUCUCGGCAGGUAAGGGUGAAAAGGUGCGGUAAGAGCGCACCGCGGGCGGAGUGAUCCGUCCGGCAGGGUAAACCCCACGCGGAGCAAGACCAAAUAGGAGAGGAGGAGCGGCCCGCUCCGCCAGACUCUCGGGUAGGUCGCUUGAGCCGUCCGGUAACGGCCGGCCCAGAGGAAUGGUUACCGCCCGCAAGGGUACAGAAACCGGCUUAUAGUCCGGCAAGCUUG